rnacentral:rRNA from 1 species
GAUGAACGCUGGCGGCGUGCUUAACACAUGCAAGUCGAACGAUGAAGCCCAGCUUGCUGGGUGGUUUAGUGGCGAACGGGUGAGUAACAAGUGAGUAACCUGCCCUUGACUAUGGGAUAAGCCUGGGAAAGUGGGUCUAGUACUGGAUAUGACUUCUCAUCGCAUGGUGGGGGGUGGAAAGAUUGAUUGGUCUUGGAUGGACUAGCGGCCUAUCAGCUUGUUGGUGAGGUAAUGGCUCACUAACGCGACGACUGGUAGCCGGCCUGAGAGGGUGGACGGCCACACGGGGACUGAGACACGGCCCAGACUCCUACGGGAGGCAGCAGUGGGGAAUAUUGCACAAUGGGCGCAAGCCUGAUGCAGCGACGCCGCGUGAGUGAUGACGGCCUUCGGGUUGUAAACCUCUGUCAGUAGGGAAGAAGCGAGAGUGACGGUACCUGCAGAAGAAGCGCCGGCUAACUACGUG